UUUUUAUUAAAUGAUGACUGUCACAUAUCAUGUUUUAAUUGGAUGUCAACUCCAUAAAAAAUGAAAUGCAUUGCUGUUUUCAUUGACCAAUCAUAACAUGACACUCUCAUCAUCC
rfam:Glycine soja cultivar W05 scaffold10744_4, whole genome shotgun sequence.